rnacentral:rRNA from 1 species
CCCCGGUAAACGGCGGCCGUAACUAUAACGGUCCUAAGGUAGCGAAAUUCCUUGUCGGGUAAGUUCCGACCUGCACGAAUGGCGUAAUGAUGGCCAGGCUGUCUCCACCCGAGACUCAGUGAAAUUGAACUCGCUGUGAAGAUGCAGUGUACCCGCGGCAAGACGGAAAGACCCCGUGAACCUUUACUAUAGCUUGACACUGAACAUUGAGCCUUGAUGUGUAGGAUAGGUGGGAGG